GAUGAACGCUGGCGGCGUGCUUAACACAUGCAAGUCGAACGGAAAGGCUCCUGCUUGCAGGGGUACUCGAUUGGCGAACGGGUGAGUAACACGUGUGUGAUCUGCCCUGCACUUCGGGAUAAGCCUGGGAAACUGGGUCUAAUACCGGAUAGGACGAUGGUUUGGAUGCGAUUGUGGAAAGUUUUUCGGUGUGGGAUGAGCUCGCGGCCUAUCAGCUUGCUGGUGGGGUAAUGGCCUACCAAGGCGUCGACGGGUAGCCGGCCUGAGAGGGUGUACGGCCACAUUGGGACUGAGAUACGGCCCAGAAUCCUACGGGAAGCAGCAGUGGGGAAUAUUGCACAAUGGGCGCAAGCCUGAUGCAGCGACGCCGCGUGGGGGAUGACGGCCUUCGGGUUGUAAACUCCUUUCGAUAGGGACGAAGCGCAAGUGACGGUACCUGGAGAAGAAGCACCGGCUAACUACGUG
rnacentral:rRNA from 1 species